CCUACGGGUGGCAGCAGUGGGGAAUAUUGCACAAUGGGGGAAACCCUGAUGCAGCGACGCCGCGUGAGUGAAGAAGUCUCUCGGUAUGUUAAGCUCUAUCAGUCGGGAAGAAAAUGACGGUACCUGACUCAGAAGCAGCGGAUACAUACAUGCCAGCAGCCGCGGGAAUGCGUAGGGGGCAGGCGUUAUCCGGAUUUACUGGGGGUAAAGGGGGCGUAGGCGGCCGGACAAGUCCGAAGUGAAAGCCCAGGGCUCAACCCGGGGACUGCUUUUGAAACUGCCGGAGUGGAGUGAAGGAGAGGUAAGCGGAAUUCCUGGUGUAGCGGUGAAAUGCGUAGAUAUUAGGAGGAACACCAGUGGCGAAGGCGGCUUACUGGACUGUAACUGACGCUGAGGCUCGAAAGCGUGGGGAGCGAACAGGAUUAGAUACCCCAGUAGUC
rnacentral:rRNA from 1 species